GGGGUUGUGGCUUAGUGGUAGAGCACUCACCUAGCAUGUGUGAGGCCCUGGGUUCGAUCCUCAGCACCACA
rnacentral:tRNA from 1 species